GUGCAGGCCGCAUGCUAUACAUGCAGUCGAACGAACCAUCCUGAAGAUUGAAGCUUGCUUCAUGAUUCAGACCUUGGUGAGUGGCGGACGGGUGAGUAACACGUGGGUAACCUGCCCAAAAGUGGGGGAUAACAUCUGGAAACAGGUGCUAAUACCGCAUAACAACUACUUUCUCAUGAUCGUAGCUUGAAAGAUGGCUCUGCUAUCGCUUUUGGAUGGACCCGCGGCGUAUUAGCUAGUUGGUGAGGUAAUAGCUCACCAAGGCAAUGAUACGUAGCCGACCUGAGAGGGUAAUCGGCCACAUUGGGACUGAGACACGGCCCAAACUCCUACGGGAGGCAGCAGUAGGGAAUCUUCCACAAUGGGCGAAAGCCUGAUGGAGCAAUGCCGCGUGAGUGAAGAAGGUUUUCGGAUCGUAAAACUCUGUUGUUGAAGAAGAACAUGCGUGAGAGUAACUGUUCACGUACUGACGGUAUUCAACCAGAAAGCCACGGCUAACUACGUGCCAGCAGCCGCGGUAAUACGUAGGUGGCAAGCGUUGUCCGGAUUUAUUGGGCGUAAAGAGAAUGUAGGCGGUUUAUUAAGUUUGAAGUGAAAGCCCUCGGCUCAACCGAGGAAGUGCUUUGAAAACUGGUAAACUUGAGUGCAGAAGAGGAAAGUGGAACUCCAUGUGUAGCGGUGGAAUGCGUAGAUAUAUGGAAGAACACCAGUGGCGAAGGCGGCUUUCUGGUCUGUAACUGACGCUGAGAUUCGAAAGCAUGGGUAGCAAACAGGAUUAGAUACCCUGGUAGUCCAUGCCGUAAACGAUGAGUGCUAAGUGUUGGAGGGGUUUCCGCCCUUCAGUGCUGCAGCUAACGCAUUAAGCACUCCGCCCUGGGGAGUACGAUCGCAAGAUUGAAACUCAAAGGAAUUGACGGGGGCCCGCACAAGCGGUGGAGCAUGUGGUUUAAUUCGAAGCAACGCGAAGAACCUUACCAGGUCUUGACAUACCAUGAAAAGCUAAGAGAUUAGUCUUUCCCUUCGGGGACAUGGAUACAGGUGGUGCAUGGUUGUCGUCAGCUCGUGUCGUGAGAUGUUGGGUUAAGUCCCGCAACGAGCGCAACCCUUAUUAUCAGUUGCCAGCAUUCAGUUGGGCACUCUGGUGAGACUGCCGGUGACAAACCGGAGGAAGGUGGGGACGACGUCAAAUCAUCAUGCCCCUUAUGACCUGGGCUACACACGUGCUACAAUGGUCGGUACAACGUGCUGCGAACUCGCGAGGGUAAGCAAAUCACUUAAAACCGAUCUCAGUUCGGAUUGUAGGCUGCAACUCGCCUACAUGAAGCUGGAAUCGCUAGUAAUCGCGGAUCAGCAUGCCGCGGUGAAUACGUUCCCGGGCCUUGUACACACCGCCCGUCACACCAUGAGAGUUUGUAACACCCAAAGUCGGUGGGGUAACCCUUCGGGGAACUAGCCGCCUAAGUGACACAUGCUUGUU
rnacentral:rRNA from 1 species